CUACGGGAGGCAGCAGUGGGGAAUCUUGCGCAAUGGGCGAAAGCCUGACGCAGCGACGCCGCGUGAGUGAUGAAGGCCUUCGGGUUGUAAAGCUCUGUGGGGAGAGACGAAUAAGUGCGGGCGAAUACCCCGUAUGAUGACGGUAUCUCCUUAGCAAGCACCGGCUAACUCUGUGCCAGCAGCCGCGGUAAGACAGAGGGUGCAAACGUUGUUCGGAAUUACUGGGCGUAAAGCGAGUGUAGGCGGUUUGGAAAGUCGGAUGUGAAAGCCCCAGGCUCAACCUGGGAAGUGCAUUCGAUACUCUCAAGCUAGAGUACUGGAGAGGUUGGUGGAAUUCUCGGUGUAGAGGUGAAAUUCGUAGAUAUCGAGAGGAACACCGGUGGCGAAGGCGGCCAACUGGACAGAUACUGACGCUGAGACUCGAAAGCGUGGGGAGCAAACAGGAUUAGAUACCCGUGUAGUCC
rnacentral:rRNA from 1 species